CAAAAGCAACAGUUUGCUUCCUCCUGCACACGGAAACUCAUGAAAAUAAGAAUGGUCUCACAGCGAAUAGCAGGCUGGAGAGAUGAAAUCUCAGAAUCUUCUGGCCAGAAGUAACAGCCUGGGGCUGGUUUUGGAAGAAGAUAUAAUAUAUCUCAAACACCAAUAAAGCAAGUAUGCAGAGUAUUCCAGGAACCAAAAGAAAAACCAUGUCUUAUUAAAGAUGCUUCAAUUAUUAUGAGAUUAACUUGAAGACCCAAUAGUAAAAGUUGUUUAUGAAACAUCCUUCUCCGUUACACAUCAAAGAUAUUGUAUGUCACUUUUUCCUUUUUUGUUGCUUUAUUUUUUCAGGACUUAGUUUAUACUGGAUUUAACUGAGAGUUUUAAUAUAGUUAAGAGAUGUUUGAUUUUUUAAAAAACACAUUAGAUUUUAUGUAUGGGCUUUCAGUAGAAGGAUCAUUAAUAAAUCUCUUGUGGAAUGUUGCUGUGUGAACAUGCAUAAUUUAAAAUGAUGUGUUAUUUAGGGUAUUUUCAACAGGCAAUAUUCACAUUUCCCCUUGUGUAGAAAUACACUUCAUGUGGGGGUGAGGAGUAAUAACAUCUUAGAUCCUGGCUUAUUCUUCCACAAAUGAAAGAGCAUCUUUGAUCCCAACUAGGUCUCUACUGAUAGAAUGCAAGAAGAAUAUUUCUUGCCAAUUAUACCCUGUUCACCUCCACCACUAGCCCAUUUAAUCUUCUGAAACAAAUUCUUGGGAGACAAAUAGUGCUAAAGUGGAAAUAUGGGAUUAGUCAACAUUUUCUUAGUGUUUCAAACUCAGAAAUAUUCUAUUUCAUGGAUUUUUCCUGUAUGAUUUGUGAAUUUGUGCCUGUGUGAUUUAAACUGGUCAAUAAAUAGAUUUUAAAAUGAACCAAA